AUUGAACGCUGGCGGCAUGCCUUACACAUGCAAGUCGAACGGCAGCACGGGAGCAAUCCUGGUGGCGAGUGGCGAAUGGGUGAGUAAUAUAUCGGAACGUGCCCAGUCGUGGGGGAUAACGUAGCGAAAGCUACGCUAAUACCGCAUACGAUCUAUGGAUGAAAGCGGGGGAUCGCAAGACCUCGCGCGAUUGGAGCGGCCGAUAUCAGAUUAGGUAGUUGGUGGGGUAAAGGCUCACCAAGCCGACGAUCUGUAGCUGGUCUGAGAGGACGACCAGCCACACUGGGACUGAGACACGGCCCAGACUCCUACGGGAGGCAGCAGUGGGGAAUUUUGGACAAUGGGCGCAAGCCUGAUCCAGCAAUGCCGCGUGCAGGAUGAAGGCCUUCGGGUUGUAAGCUGCUUUUGUACGGAGCGAAAAGGCUUCCACUAAUACUGGGGGCUCAUGACGGUACCGUAAGAAUAAGCACCGGCUAACUACGUGCCAGCCGCCGCAGUAAGAC
rnacentral:rRNA from 1 species